AGUCGUGGGGAUAACGUAGCGAAAGUUACGCUAAUACCGCAUACGAUCUAAGGAUGAAAGCGGGGGAUCGCAAGACCUCGCGCGAUUGGAGCGGCCGAUAUCAGAUUAGGUAGUUGGUGAGGUAAAGGCUCACCAAGCCAACGAUCUGUAGCUGGUCUGAGAGGACGACCAGCCACACUGGAACUGAGACACGGUCCAGACUCCUACGGGAGGCAGCAGUGGGGAAUUUUGGACAAUGGACGCAAGUCUGAUCCAGCCAUUCCGCGUGCAGGAUGAAGGCCCUCGGGUUGUAAACUGCUUUUGUACGGAACGAAAAGGUUUGUCUUAAUACGAUGAGCUCAUGACGGUACCGUAAGAAUAAGCACCGGCUAACUACGUG
rnacentral:rRNA from 1 species